rnacentral:misc_RNA from 1 species
GCAAGGGUGAGAGAGCGUGAACGUUACGCCCAGAAUUCAAACUUUUAACUUGUUGCGCUUUUUUGAAUAACUUAUAAGUGACUGUUAUCAUUGUAAUAAUAGAAGUGUGGUAGCGUAAAGUGAAUAAAUGAUAAAAUAAAGCUGAAGAUGUUCAGCUGUUGUUCUAUGUAGAGUUGAAGUCUCCAGAAGUUGAAAUCUCCAGCUGAGAAACAAUACACAGGAUCCCCGGCCAAAUAGUAAUUAGGGGGGAGCUAGGACCGGUACACAGGUCAAUAUACAGGGGAGCAUACUCAUCCCUUACCUAUUUCCCCAUUCUAUAGAAACAGACUGGAGAAAUAUUUCGUCAAACCAUGGUUUCGAAAAAAAGAGAUUUUUUGAGAUUUAGUGAAACACUGGUGGCUUUUUACUGGUGAAGAACUAAGAAAGAUUGCGUGCCCGAGAAGUUUACCCAAUGGUAAAACAGAGACUGGAGUUAUGGGGAAAAGAAGAACACAAAAUACCUGAAAAAUGUUAAAUCAAGGCAGUCUACCGAGCUGCUAUAGCAGUUCUUCGAGCUGUAACAGCCACGACAGCUGUAACAGACAUAAUAAUUCCAAACUCAGCAAUAGCCAUCACAGUCGUGUUGGAUACUAUAGGAGUAAGAAAAGACUGACCCUAAGGCCCCUAGAUGGGCUGAGAACAUUAUUACCCCUAAGCCUAGGAUCUACUUGGAGAAUGUUUAUCCUUCUCCUACUAUUCUCUAGCCUUACUUUUUCAACUGCUGAAUAUGUGAAGAACUUUAAAAUUACGGAGGGAGUUCAAAUCGGCAGUAGAAUAGGCUUUAUCGGCGAAACCGAGCCCGGUCGACCGAAACCACCAUCACCACCCUAUCUAGUUGUCCCGUCGGCCGAUUCGCCGAUCGACGAGGAUCUUGACAUCGACCAGAACACCGGAGAGGUUCGGACGAAUGUUGAGUUAGAUCGAGAGAAACGUGCUCGGUAUAGAUUUAGUGCAAUCCCACUUAGUGGAGAAGGAGAAAAUAUCAAGGUUAAUAUUGAAGUAGAAGAUCAGAAUGACAACAGUCCUACCUUCUCUCAAUCCAAGAUUACGAUAGGUCUUCCAGAAAAUUCUCCUAAGGACUCAAAAAGACGAUUACCACCGGCCGUCGACGCCGAUCUUGGUAUUUUCAACACCCAGCGUUAUGAAAUCAUCUCCGGGAACCGUCAAAACUCGUUCCGGUUGUCGACCCAGCGGGACAAGGACGGUAGGUUGAUGCUGGACCUGAUCGUGAACGGGUUCCUGGACAGGGAGGUGAUCAGCUCCUAUACUCUGAGUAUUGAGGCCCAGGAUGGAGGGAAUCCAACUAGAAAAGGACUGUUGACUGUAGAAAUAAAUAUUCUGGAUUUAAACGACAAUGCUCCAGUAUUCAAGGAGCAACGGUACUACGCGUCUAUUCCUGAGAAUUCCACUGUAGGAUCUGAAAUCAUCACUGUAUCCGCCCUAGACCCAGACGAAGGGCCCAAUGGCGACGUAACCUAUUCCAUCAACCGUCGACAAUCUGACAAUCAAGAGCUCUUUGCUAUUGACACACUAAGUGGACUCCUGACCGUGAACAAGCGGCUCGACUUUGAGUCGAAAGAUCAACAUGAACUUGUUGUUGUUGCGAAGGAUAACGGUGACGUACCUCAAGAAACGACAGCUUUUAUCACCGUUAAGAUAACAGAUAUUAACGACAAUCAACCGAAGAUAAACGCUGUUUACAGGACGCCGACAGGCAGGCCCGAGCUCCGGGAGGACGCGCUGAUUGGUCAGAAAAUCGCCGAUAUUACGGUAACCGAUCCUGACGAACCAACACAGAUUGCGGAUUUUGACGUUACUUUAAGCGGCUCGGAUAUGGGAUAUUUCAGCCUAGAACGACAACGAUCCGGAUACAGCCUAGUUCUUGCAAGACGGAUAGACAGGGAGGAAACAGAUAAGAUAUCUUUAACCCUUGAAGCUUUGGACGACGGAUUCCCCCCUCUCAGAGCAAACCUGGAGCUAACACUCAGAAUUCUGGAUGUGAAUGAUAACAGUCCUGUGUUUGACUCUGUUGAGUAUGAAGGUAGUAUCCAAGAGACUGCUACGCCUGGGACUAGUAUUCUCCGGGUUCUAGCAGAAGACCAGGAUACAGGGGAGAAUAGCAGGAUAAACUACCGACUAGAGAAUAGUGCAUUGACCCACUCUGACUGGUUUACUAUAGAUUCUGAGACUGGCCUAAUAUCCACUAGAACUAAGAUCGACUGUGAGAUAGACCCUGAACCUAUUCUUGUCGUUGUCGCUACAGACAACGGAAACCCUCGUCGCAGUUCUAGCGCGACCGUGAGAAUCGGCGUAGAGGAUGUGAACGACAACGAGCCAAGGUUCGACAGUGUGUUCUACAACGUAUCCCUGAAGGAGUCUGUGGAGUCGGGCACCUGUUUUAUCAGGGUAAAUGCUGAAGAUUCAGACUGUGGAGUAACAUCAAAGGUGUCCUAUCGGCUGGGUGAGGUUGAGCCAAGGUUCCGGGUAGACCAGGAUACUGGAGAGAUUUGUCUCCAGACAAACCUGGAUUUUGAGACGGAUACAUUCCAUCAUCUAACCAUUGUCGCUGUAGACAGGGGUGGAUUGUCCUCUACGUCAAUGGUUGGAAUAACAGUUGAGGAUGAUAAUGAUAAUAGUCCUCAGUUCAACCCUAGGGAAUAUAGCGGGAGUGUUGAAGGAGAAGGCCAGGCUGGUGAUCAUAUUCUCAGAGUAUCAGCUGUAGAUAGAGAUUCAGGAGACUGGGGACAGGUGACCUACUCUAUCAGCAAGGGUAACCAAGAAGGCCUAUUCCUGCUGGAUGAAAAGGGAGGUGUUCUAUCUCUAGCACGUUCUCUUAAGGAUGCUCAAGGAACAUUUAAACUUGAAGUGUCAGCUGUAGACGGGGGCGGGACAUCAGCCCCACAACCAGCUCUUUUAUCAAUCAACAUAGCGCCUCAAGACACACCCUCAACUCCACCCUUAUGUAUCGAAAAAUUGCACCAGUUUUCUAUUGAGGAGGACGCAAUAAUUCGCUCGGAUGUCGGUAAAGUUCGCACAAACGUAAAAAAUCCGCGAAUAUUUUUCUAUUCAGAAAACGCGCAAAGUUAUUUUGACAUAGAUUCUCAGUCUGGCCUGAUCUCAACUAAGAUGGAGCUUGAUCACGAGACAAAUCCAAGAUUUCUUCUAAAUAUCGGAGUCGAAGAUGAUGUCUCCGGUAUGACCGGAUACUGCCAGGUCCUUGUUAACAUAAUCGACAUUAACGACAACGCUCCCAGCUUUGGUCCCACCCUGGGCUUGAUCACCAUUCCUGAAAAUUCUCCUGCCCACACUCUGGUGUUCGCUAAGCAGGCUCGGGACAGAGACUCCGGUGAGAACGGAAGAGUUAACUAUAGGAUAAUCAAGGAUACAGGGGUAUUCACUGUGGAUGAGAAUACAGGGGUGGUUACAACCCUACAGGAGCUAGAUUAUGAACAGAUGGAACAGCAUGAGGUUCAGCUGGUGGCCUACGACAAUGGUUCCCCCUCCCUCUCCUCCAGCUUUUCUAUCAAUAUUCUCGUUCAGGAUGAAAACGACCACGCCCCUGUGUUCUCUAAGCCCUCCUACCAGCUGACAGUCGAGGAAACCCUGCCAAAGGAUUCUCAGCUCCUUCCCCUUGACGCUGAAGACCUGGAUGGAGGAAAAAAUGGUCGACUACGAUUUUCUAUAAUUGAUGAGUCUGAGUAUAUCUCUAUCCUACCAACCAGUGGUAUUCUAUACCUGAGUAAAGAACUGGAUUAUGAAACCAUCAACUCUAUCUCCUUCACUGUAAAGGUUGAAGAUGAAGGUACCCCCCCUCUAUCUGAUGUUUGCAGUGUAGACAUCAGGGUGGUGGACUCCAAUGAUAAUGCUCCUAUAUUCUCUAAGGAGGAGUACUCCUAUAUAGUUGAGGAGAAUACAGGAGUUGGAUAUAAAAUAGGAGUUAUUCAGGCAACAGAUGCAGAUAGUGGACAAAACGGAGAUAUUUCUUAUAAGUUUAAGAGAAGCACAGAUGUAUUUCAAAUUGACGAAAAGAAUGGUGAGAUCCGAACUGUUGUGAACCUGGACCGAGAAGUGGAAGAUGAAUAUAUUCUUGAGGUUGAAGCUGUAGAUUCAGGAAUACCUAGAUUAACCAGCUCAGCUACUCUUCAUAUACAGGUUGAGGAUCUGAAUGACAAUGCUCCCGUGAUAGUUGAUCCAGUAGUGACUGUUCUAUCCGUGCAAGGUAGAGCUCCUCCUGAUACUCCUAUAGCUCGGAUACUAGCUACAGAUCCAGAUCUAGGAGACGGAGGGAACCUAGUUUAUACCAUAGACAACGAUGGUGGAGCUGGUCAUGAUGUUCUGAGUAUACAUCCAACCACUGGUCUUCUAUCUACAUCUUCCCUUCUAGAGUAUAAUCCUCAUAAUAUAACAGUUACAGUCAGAGUUCAGGAUCAAGGUUCUCCUAGUUUGAGUUCUAAGGUUUGGUAUACUGUCAAUAUCUUAAGAGAAAGAGAUACAAGUCUACCCUUUGCUCAAACAAACCUUAUUCUACAGGUGUCAGAGACUGCUACGCCUGGGAGCAGGGUGGGAAGUGUGAAACCUAAUCCAACCAACCUGGAUCUAAGCACAGCAUGGUUUUCUAUAUCAGGAGGAAACGAGGACGGAAUGUUUGAUAUUGAUAAUUACAACGGUAUCCUAGUUGUUCUUAAACCCCUAAGGUUCAGCUCCAGGAAGGAGUUUAACCUAAGAGUGUCUUUAAACGACGAGGUGUACGGAAUGUCCCGUGAAAUCAUCAAGGUUAAGAUUAUCAUCACUGAUGUCAACGGUAUCAGCCCUAUAUUCUCAACUAGCCCCCUGGAGCUUAAUGUGCCUGAAAACACGGCUAUUGGCACUCCCAUACAGACAAUUAAAGCCAAGGGUAUGGACAGUGCUGGUAAUGGGACUAUUCGCUACUCACUGUUGGAACAAUUCCCGCAGAAUUUUUUCCGGAUUGAUUCGCUGUCUGGAGAACUGUAUCUGAUUCAUGAACUAGAUUUUGAAUCUACUGAGAAAGUGUUUAUGACCUUGCGUGCCACCGACAGUUCAUUUGCCGUGGAGGGGAGAAAAACGUCUGAUGUAUCAGUUAUUGUUCAUGUUGAGGAUACUAAUGAUCAUGUACCCACGUUUGUUUCAACAAAACGGAAGGAGAUUCAAGAAGGAAUUGAAAUUGGAGUUCCGUUCCAUCGCGUUCUAGCUGUAGAUGGUGACUCCAAGGAUGCCGGAGACGUGAGUUAUCUGAUUGAAGGAGGGAACAGUGAUAACGUCUUUCAUCUUGAUGCAUCCACUGGACUACUAUCCAUCAAAGAACGUCCUACCCGGUCUAGCUACCAGUUAACUAUUAAAGCUGAGGAUAGCGGUGUACCGAGAAAGUAUAGCAGUCAGAUUCUCCAGAUAGGUGUAGUAGAGCAGAGUAAUGGUCCGCCUAAAUUCACACAAACUGUUUACAGAGCAGAGGUAAUGGAGCAUUCCGAGCCCGGGACCCUGGUUAUUGCUGUACAGGCGGAAAAACAGGGUUCAGGAUCAGACAUUAUCUACUCCAUGGAUACCAGCGUGUCCAGGGGAUUGUUUAGGAUUGAUGAAAGAUCUGGAGAUAUAGUCACUAUGGGAGAUCUUGAUAGGGAGGAAAGGAAUGAAUAUAUAGUUACCGUAUACGUACAUGAUUCCAACACCCAACCUAAUUUCGACACUGCCACAGUUCUCAUCAAGAUCUCAGAUGAGAAUGAUAAAACCCCAAGAUUUGUGGAUUCCUGCAAUCCGCUUUUUGUUCCUGAGAACACAGAUCUGUCAGCAUUACAUUAUUUCAUAGCGGUAGAUGAGGAUGAAGGGCCAAAUGGAGAAAUAACCUACAGCAUCGUGGGCGGGGACGAGGGAAAUAAAUUCUCUCUGGAUGCACACACUGGACAACUGUCUGCAGCUCCACUCGACCAUGAGGAGCAUUCAUCAUAUUCUCUCACCAUCAAGGCGGAAGAUCAAGGAAACCCAAGAAGAUCCAGCACAUGUGAAACAACCAUCAGAGUUAUUGACAGGAAUGACAAUGAUCCUGUGUUUCUUGAAACUAAAUACAAGGCAAGAAUCAGUGAAAAUGUAGAUGUUGGAACUCCAGUUAUGAGUGUAACUGCUACAGAUGCAGACUCAGGACAGAAUGCUAAGAUCUCUUAUUCUAUACAGAAUGGUACGGAGUGGAUCUUUGGUAUCGACAAGGACACCGGAGAGAUCUACACCACGGCCAGGUUGGACAGGGAGAAAAAUGAGGAGUAUAAUCUGCUGAUUAUGGCGGUGGAUGAAGGUAUUGAGGAUACAAGGAUGGCAUCUACUACUGUCAGUAUAACUCUGCAGGAUGAGAAUGACAAUGAACCUGAGUUUGACGAAUAUCCCUUCAUGGCCCAGAUACUCCCGGAGCAUCCUGUGGGUUCGCAAAUAACUAAAGUAACUGCUAAGGACAAGGACAAGGGACAGAAUGCCAAUCUUAAAUACUCAUUUUUAAACCAGGAGGAUGCGGAAAAGUUUUCAAUUGACGCAGUGACUGGGAUAAUUUCCUCCCAGCAAAAUCUUGUAACAGAUGAUGGAGGGAUGUUUCAUAUCGAGAUCCUGGUAACGGAUGGUGGUACUCCUAGUCUCAGUUCUACAGGGCUGGUGGAGAUAAAGAUUGGACAGCAACCUAGCGUACAACUCAACUUCCAGCAGAAACUUUACGAAUCCCAAAUCUCGGAAGAAUCUAAAAUCGGCGAAGAUAUUUUGCAAGUGCAGGCAGUUCGUUCAGAUGGACGAAUUCAGAGGGUUAUCUACACUUUCGGCCAGGGGAACCAGGACGGAAUAUUUGAAAUCAAUUCAAACAAUGGGUUGAUCCGGCUCAAAAAUCCUCAGUUCAUUGACUAUGAGAGAAAACAGGAGUACAAAGUGACAGUACUGGGACAUGCUGCAGGACAAGAGCAGCUGUACGCCUACGCCGAGUGCAAAAUACGAGUAAAGGAUGUGAAUGACAAUGAACCAAGGUUUACACAAAAUGUCUACUUUGCUCGUGCCUGGGAAGGAAAUAACAAGGGAACCUUUGUUACCCAAGUAAUGGCCGUGGAUGGAGACAGUAUUGAGAAUGAACGUCUAUAUUAUCAGAUUAUUGAUGGAAAUCAUGAUGGGGCGUUCACAAUUGAUCAACAAUACUCUGGAAUCAUUAAAACCAAUAUUGUUCUGGAUCGAGAGAUUAGAGAUUCCUACGAGUUAAAAGUGACUGCAACGGACGAGGGUUCUCCGCCCAAGACAGGAUAUACCAAGGUUAUCGUGAAAAUAAUUGACAUCAACGAUAACCAGCCGCAGUUCCCUCCAAGCACACCCAUUACGAUAUCUGAAGGAACGGUUGCUGGGACCAGGAUAGGGACUAUACAAGCUAACGAUAUAGAUAGUCAUCCACACCUUACAUACUCAUUUGUCAACCCAUCUCCAGGCUCAUCCAUCAAUCCGUCGGAAUCAUCAGUUCAGACCUCGGAAUUCUUCAGUAUUGAUAAAUUUAGCGGAGUAAUCAGCCUGGCCAAGAAGGUUGAUCGUGAAGCUACGGACAGGUUUAUUGUUGAGAUUGCUGCUUCCGACGGAGCUCACACUGUUCAGACCAGCGUUGAAAUACUUAUUGAGGAUGAGAAUGAUUCUGCUCCUGUAUUUGAGAAACAGGUUUAUACUGGAGUAUUCUCCUCUAACAUGACCCUCCCUGCUCCUAUGGUUUCUGUUCGAGCAGAGGAUAAAGAUUCAGGACGGAACGGAGAAGUGAAAUAUAAACUGAUUGGAUCAGAUAUUGGAUAUAUCGAUGAAAAUGGAACAAUAUAUGUAAAUAACACAUCAGAUAUAGAGCAAGGUACGGAGAUACAUCUUGUUGUAUCCGCUGAAGAUCUAGGUUCCCCUCCUCAACAGUCCUUUGUAUCCGUCCGUCUACUAAACCUUCAACAUUCAGAGACCAGUCCGCAAUUCCAUCAGCAGGAAUUUGCGGUAAUUAUAGACCCUAGUGCAAAAAUUGGCAGUAAACUUGCAAAUCUGGAGGUUCCAUUCUCCGGAGGCAAUCUAUUCUACUCCUUAGCUCCUGGUAGUAAUAAUCCCUAUGUAGAGUUGGACAGUUCUACUGGGACCCUGAUACUAAAGAAAAGGAUCGAUGACCCGAAACUAAUUCCUAAAACCUUGGACGCAACAUUAAGACGAGACAAUAGAAUAGGGGAUGAGACGAGCGCAAGCAUAAUCCUCAAUUUAGGAGAUCUCGCCGACUCGGCGGAUUUGUUUGAAAGGAAAUAUUAUGACGUAAACCUGUCUGAAAACACAGGAACAGGGAAGGAGAUAUUUGGUGUACCCGGGCCCCAGCUAAACUAUCAUCUUAGAAUAGCCUCCGGGAACAUAAACGAUACUUUUGAACUAUCAUCUGUAAAGGCGGGUUCAUUAUUGCUCAAGAAAUCUUUGAACUAUGAAACCCAGAAGGAGUACAAGUUGAUACUUCUUGGUACCAUUGCUAACCGUUUUGACAUCGUUACAGUGGUUGUUAAAGUCCUGGAUGAAAAUGACAAUUCUCCGUUCUUCCCAGUAAACAAGCAGAUUCACUCAAUCAAAGAGAAUUCCUCCCCAGGCAGUUUAGUAUUUGUAGCUCAGGCACAGGACCUUGAUAUCUCAGAUUCUCUACACUACUCUAUCAAUAGUGAUGAAUUCACGAUCGGAGAAACAAAUGGUCGUGUCCUUUCCAAGCGCGUGUUUGAUUAUGAGACCGAACAGGAAUUUAAUUUCAACCUCAUGGUCACAGAUAGUGCAGGAGCUAAAGCUUCUGCAGAUGUCAUAAUCAAGAUUGAGAGCGUGGAUGAAUACUAUCCAGCGUUUGAAUCUCCAUCCUACCAGUUUACCAUAGAUAGAUUAUACCCUGCAGAACAUAUCCUGGGACGGGUUAAAGCUGUUGAUCAGGAUGCCGGAGCUAGUGGUAGAGUUGUGUACAGCCUCGCAAGUAAUGAUGGAUACUUCAAAGUUAAUGCAGAUACCGGAGAAAUCCUGGUUUCUAGGAACCUAGAUAUGGGGUUGGUUUCUUCCGAUUUGGGAUCAAACAGACAGUUCCAAGAUGUGAACUAUCUGGUAUAUGCGAGCACAGGAAGAGAAGACAGUUUAAAAACCUCAACCCUUGUAAUUUUCCAAGUAAAGAUCGACAUCCUCCCUCCCGCCCCACUUCCCUCCACAGAAAGCGGUAUUGCAACAUGGGGACAAGGAUUAAUCAUCGCCUUCGUAUUUAUCCUUGUCAUUGUCGGAGCUGGGAUAUUCUUCUUUAAACGCUUCUCAGUCAAUAAAUUUAUUCAGAAGCGUUUAAUAGAUCCGAGCAGUCCAGCUGGACUUCCAUACACAAACUCGAUAAACGACACGAGUACUAUGGACAGUACAGUACCGAUGUCCCAGUACCCCCCGCAGUACAGUGAUAUUGUAUCCCAGUAUGGGCACUCACAUGGAAAAUCUGGUCAGACCCGGCCGGGCCGGUUAACUCAGUCAGAACUAUCCGAGCAGAGCCAUCGCUCAGCGAGUAGUGGACGGGGGUCAGCAGAAGAUGGAGAAGAGGAGGUGGAUCAUGAGAUUCAAAUGAUCAACGGAGCAGGACUACCAACUCUGAAUGAUACUUGUAUUGCUGAGGAUAGCAUGAGUGAUAUCAGUGUACAAAAUGGCAAGGAGUAUCUGGCUAGGCUUGGUAUAGAUACAAGACCCCCUCAUCUCUCCCAUACCUCCUCAUACCAAACCCUAGAGGGACAUCAAGAUCUUUAUAACAGAUUACAGGAUACUGAUGCCCUGUCUGAAAAGAACAGUAUGGUGUCAGGAAAUAAUUCAGUUUAUGCGAGAACAGGUCACCCUGUAUCCAUGACAGGGUCUAUAUCUAGUAUGGUGCACAGUGAAGAGGAGGUUGCAGGAAGCUAUAACUGGGAUUAUCUCCUAGAUUGGGGACCACAGUACCAACCUUUACAACACGUUUUCCAGGAGAUUUCUAGUUUGAAAGAUGAAGGAUCUCAAUCUGUAGGUAUCCAUGUACCUCCUCUCCUAACCUCCCUCCCACCUAGACACGCCCAUUCAGUCUCAACACAUCCCCGCUCACCUGUCUCCCAGGAGAUGCUGCUUGGCUCCGCCCUUUCUCCAAAUUUCUUGCCCGCCCUCUCACCCUUAGCUACCCGGUCACCGAGUAUAUCUCCACUAGGACCCAUGACCGGUCCGGUACGGGGUGUUACUCGGACAGUUCAGCAGCCGAGAUAUCAGUCGUCUUUGCAUUCUGAUUAUGCAGAGGCAGCAGAGAAUGAACUAAGAAUUUAAGUACAAAAAAUACAAAGUUAAAACCCAUUUUUACGUUGAAUUUCUCACAACCUCGGCUAAUAAGUGAAAAUAUAGAUAGUUAAAGAUCUAAUUUAAUUGUGAUAUAUUUAAACUGCAGAACAGAGCAGGACUUUGGACAUUUAAGGCAUCUGUUCACAGUUUUAUCUUGUGUAAUAGAAAAUUUUAAAAUAUGAAUAUUCAGCUGUGAUAACUAUUCGUAAUUUAUACAUUUCAAUCUUUGUAAUGUUUGCCAUUAGCAUGAUUCUUAUGGUUACCAUUCCACAGUAAUUGUGUAGCCCCCUCUUAUACAUACAGGGUACAAGCAUAUGUUAUAUGUGUUACCAAUUAGUAUUCAUCCAUGUUUUAUAUAAAGUUGUGCCAACAUUUUGGAAAUGGUGACUCAAUUUUCUUGUAGAAUCUCUAAUACUCUAUUGUUGUUGCUACGAUCAAAAUAAAUGUUACCUGACCUUUA